CUGUUUUUGCUCCUUUAAAAGGCUAAAUAUGGAUUCAUUCAGCCGAACCCUAGCAGGACAUUAGCCUCCCCCCUUUUGCUGUCCAGUUAACCCCCAGAAUGCUCCUUUCUUCAUCUAUGCGCCACCAUGAACGGCGAUCCGCGCAUUCGAACUCCAAAGGAGUGAUUUUUCAGCCUUGAGACCCCAUUCGGACUUCGAUUUCAACAAAGUGAAGGGGAAACGACAGCUAACUUACAAGGUAAAGUCUUGUUUCCCUUUAUUCUUUUAUUUUUAGAUACCAAAAAAGAAAAAGAAAAUCAAAGGGUAUAGAUCGGGAACAAUGCGGGAUAAACCUAGAAACUCAAGAGCAGAAAUCACCUUUUUUCUUUGUUGCUUUGUAUUGCUUAUGUUCGUAAAAAACUUACAAAUGAUUCUCUUUAUGCUUUAUAGCCGAGAGAAAGAAAGAAGGAAAAAUAAAAAUAAAAAUAAAAAAAUAUACAAUUUUUGCUAUUUUCUUGCGUCUGUUGUUUUCUUGCGUUUGGUGUGCAGGUACGGGCGCUGUGCUGACGUACGGGGGCUGUGCUGGCGUAGGCGUGGCUGUUGGAGGGUACGGAGGCCAGGGCUGAGGCUUGGCUGCGGCGCGAGAGUAGGAAAGAGACCCUAGGGUUUCUUGUUCUAAAAUUUCUGGGCCAUUUAGGCCGAUGUAAUUUUGGGCCUUGGGUUAAUUUGGGGAUUGGGUUUGGGCCAAAGUCUGUAAAAGGAUAUUUACUGGACUGUUAUAAUUUUAUUUGGGGUUUAUGGUUUUUGGUUUAUUUAUUUUUUUAUAUAUCUUAUAUUUAUAUGUAUAUAUAUGUUUGGGGGUUUUUAGCGGGCCCGGGCUAAAAUUGGUCAUUACAGUAUGAAUUUCGGUCGUUUCGAGUAAUGUAUGUAUUAAAUGAGCUAAAUUUGGUAUUAUAGAUCAAGAGAAUCGAGAUACGGACCUUGAUCGAGGAAAGAAUAAGGUUUAAGAGGUUUAGGCUCAAUUUUUAAUAUUUUGUACUGAGGUAAGUACAUAUGCAAAUAAAUACAUUAAUUAUAGUUAUUAAAUGAUUU
rnacentral:lncRNA from 1 species